rnacentral:lncRNA from 1 species
UCCUGUUGUAUAAUCUCCUCAUGUCUUCUUCCUAUGUUCAUAAUUCAGUAUGGUCCAAAAGAACUAGAAGGGGCAUCAAAAUUAGCGUGAGUUUUUAGAAUUCACCUUAAUCGUUGUUUAUGUAAGGUUAACAAAUCAUCUAACAUAAUGCCAGUAAAUUACAGAAGUUUUUGGUUCAUCUAAACCUAGUGAGCUUUAGUGCAUAUCUUUGGCAAAUAACUCCAACGUGAAAGAAUUGAGUUUGGUGACUGAAUAUUUCAAAAGUUUAACUUGAUAGGAAAUAAUUUUAUAAUUUAUAACUAAUUUUAUUGACUUUAAAGCAUAAGCGAAACACAAAUCUGUCUUAUCCCUGUGAGAGUGUACUAUGUGGGCUAAAACAAAGAAUAAAGUUAUCUCCAUGGCAACAAAGAGGAAGCUUGAUUUAGACCUAAAAAAUAGAACAAUAAUUAUUUUUUUAAUUAUAGUUUAUAACUAAUUUCAUUGACUUUAAAGCAUAAGCGUCUGUCUUAUCCCUGUAAGAGUAUACUAUGUGGGCUAAUCCAAAGAAUAAAGUUAUUUCCAUGGCAACAAAGAGGAAGCUUGAUUUAGACCUAAAAAAUAGAACAAUCAUUAUUUUUUUAGACAAUGAUAUCACAAGAUAAGCUAUUGAGGCAAGUGUUUUAAGCAUAUAACUCAAAUAAUAAUUUAUAAAUAAUAAAUUUGAUGGUUCUUUAUAACUUAAACCUUUAGGAAAGCUGCACAACUUAAUAAUUAUACACGGUAAUGCCAGGAAUUUUUCCUCUAAAAAAAAACAAAGAGUUUCAAUCUUAACUAAUCUGUGAACAAUAAGCUACUGAAUUCAC